CCUUAGGUGACUGAGAAAUAAGUGUUGGACUUUUAAUCCAAAUACGACGGUUUAACGUCUCUAAGGG
rnacentral:tRNA from 1 species